rnacentral:rRNA from 1 species
AGUGAACGCUGGCGGUAGGCCUAACACAUGCAAGUCGAACGGCAGCACAGUAAGAGCUUGCCCUUACGGGUGGCGAGUGGCGGACGGGUGAGGAAUACAUCGGAAUCUACUUUUUCGUGGGGGAUAACGUAGGGAAACUUACGCUAAUACCGCAUACGACCUACGGGUGAAAGCAGGGGAUCUUCGGACCUUUCGCGAUUGAAUGAGACGAUGUCGGAUUAGCUAGUUGGCGGGGUAAAGGCCCACCAAGGCGACGAUCCGUAGCUGGUCUGAGAGGAUGAUCAGCCACACUGGAACUGAGACACGGUCCAGACUCCUACGGGAGGCAGCAGUAGGGAAUAUUGGACAAUGGGCGCAAGCCUGAUCCAGCCAUACCGCGUGGGUGAAGAAGGCCUUCGGGUUGUAAAGCCCUUUUGUUGGGAAAGAAAAGCAGCAUGUUAAUACCCCGCUGUUCUGACGGUACCCAAAGAAUAAGCACCGGCUAACUUCGUG